AUGGAAGAAUGGAGAGGUGUGAGCUCUUGCUCUAGAGCACACGUUUUCGUCCUGGCAAAGGUCAUAGGGCAGGGCUGCUCUGUGGGUUUGUUGAAGUUUGUAAGUUCUAGUGGGUUUGGUGAAGUCGGGCCACUUGUGGCUCUGGGUCGCUGUGGUUCCUGGUGCAGUGUCUCUGCACACAGCCUACCAAUGCCGCUGCCUUGCUUUGCAGUGUUCUGCACAGACCUGCUGUACACAGCCCACCACCACCAUCUUGAAUUGAGGUGCUGUGGGCAGUGCUUCUGCACACGGCCUGCCAGCCAGGCUGAGGUGUCCAGCCACCACUUUCACACUAAGAACUCUGAGGUGCUGACUAUACGUAGCCCUCCGAGAGUGAGUGAAACUAGACCCAGCACAAAGGAGAAAAGCCCUAGGCCACAAAAUAAUGGAACACACAGCUGUUGUGCAAAGAACCUGGCCUUUGGAGCCAAAUGGACCUGGAUUCCAGUCCUGAUUCUGCCCUUAACAGAGUGCUGCAGGUAAUAUACUUGAGGUCUCUGGACCUCAGAAUGUUUGUAUAUAAAAUACGGAUAAAAUCUCUUGGCUGACUGUUAAGGGAAUAGAAAGAAUGUAUGAAAAACUGGGUUUGGAAAGGGAGGGAGAGAACCAAGUGACCAGACAACAGAAGAAAUCAGCCCAAGUUGGAUUGCUGGAGGUUGAGGAGAUGAGUCAAAGGAGUAGGGGCCAUUGCUAAGCAGAGGUGAGGAGAGCAGCUUAGCAUAAGUGUCUGUAGGACAGGAAGGAGUGAUGAAUUUCAAUAUAGCCGUAUUGAGUUUGAGGUUUUGGUUGGACACCAAAAUGGAAGUUAAAGUGUUUAGGGACUUCUCUGAUGGUCCGGUGGUUAAGACUUUGCAGUUCCAGUGCAGGUGGUGUAGGUUAGAUCCCUGGUUGGAACAAAGAUCCCACAUGCCGCAUAGUCAAAAGAAAAAUAAUAAUGUUUGAAAGAUGAGUAGAUUUGGGGUGAUGUGUCUGUUGGUGGCUGUCAUUACAGUGUAAGCAUUCCCUGAAUAGAGAUACUCUCAGAGGAUGCUUUUGAUGGUUAAAGGAAAUAAUUUAAGGAACUUAGCGCAGUGCUUCAAAAAAAGUGUUUAUCAUUGUCAUCAUCAUCACUGUUGUCCUUACUGUCAUCUUACAUUUUCUAGUGCAGUUUCAAUUUCACAACAUAUUUCUCUAAGGGCAGUCCUUUAAAUGAAUAAAUAAAUUAAUCCAACAUGGAAAAAAUCCUUUGUACAUAUCAAACUACUAAUAGUGGUAACUUUUGGAGUGGAUUGUUGAAAGAAGUCUCAGGUUGGAUUUCCUAGCAGCAGCAGCUGAGAUGAAGGUUUGUGUGCAAGUAAUUGAUGAAGAAUGGGCUCCCAAGAGAAACCAGUCAGGGAGUGGCAGAAGCAAAGCCAGUCAGUGAUGGUUUUAGAUGAAAGCCCAAGCAUGACUUGAUCCUGUGAGACACUCUAGAGCAUCUCUGGAGCCAACUGUUUGGUCUGAAGCCCUGCUUCUUCUAAUUCUUAGCUGGCAAAUCCCAAGCAAGUUACUUAACCUCCCUGUGUCUCGACUUCCUCAUCUGUAGAUUGGGCCUGUUGAUAAUAAUAUCUUACAACUGCUUGCGGGUCGUUAGAGGAACAAAUACGUUAAUAUCUGAAAAAUGGUUAGAACUGCCCUGAUACAUAGUAAGUGCUGAAUUAACUAUUAACAUUAAACCUAGAAAAGCCAUGGAACGAUCUGUUAGCCACAGCACUCAGGAAACCUCUCAAAGGAAAGAGACUGUGCAUGAAGCCUCUUGGGCUGAAGAGCCCCUAAUUGCAAAUGGCCCAGUGCUGGAGCCCAAGGAAAGAAGGUGCAGUUGUGUACCCUGCAGGAGAGUAGAGAUGAAAUGAUUGGAGGGAUCAAGAAGUAUCUACUUGAAGAAAGGAAGGCAAGAAGUAGGGGUGACAGUGAAACCAUGGGUGAAGGUAAAGCCAACUGCAGCUGGGGAGGAUGGACAAAGAAGGAGAAAUGCCUCAGGAGCUUAAAAGGGAGCAGGGCUGGCCUCCCUUCAAAGGUGCCUUUUGCUGGUGCCACAGGGGAAAGGACUUUCCUGGUUCAAGAGAAGGAGGUGCAGGUGCUCAGUGAAGUCUAAUCACUGUGGGGUGGUAAAACACAUGCUGGCCUGGAGGAAGUCCAUCCUGAGCCUCACAUUGUACAGUUGCCCCUCACUGGGCCUCAGUUUCCUCAUCUAUAAAAUGGGAAGGUUGAGUCAAGUGAUCUCUUCCUAGUCAUUUAUUUGGUGAUUGUUAAGGGAUCUGAAAGACAGCAGGCAUAGGUUUCAUUUAUUAUGUGUGUACUCUACAUACCAGGAGCUGGCCAUAGACACCUUACAUACAUGCUCUCAACUUUUAUCUCAUCUCAUACAGCAUUAUGAGGUGGCACAGUUAUUCCCAUUUCACAGCUGAGAAAACUAAGAUUUAAAGAAAUUAAGCAGCCUGCCACAGAUUACACCAUAGGUAGAUGGAAGACUAGAAGUGCUUCUGACCCAGCUCUGUCUGAUCAAAAGCCUGAUUCUGAACGACUUACUCAGAAUUCAGACUCAGUGAAAGGACUGCAUACUCAGGCUGCUGAGGUAGAAUCAGUCUGGUUGUCAGGGUCUCUGAGCUAGAUUCGACCAUACCGCGGCAGGCUGCAGUGGGGAGGCAGCACUGUCCCAUAGCAGUAGGGAGACUGGUUGGACGUUAUCUGCGCAGCCUCUGGGCUUCAUCCAGCCUCUUUCCCCCACUCAUGGCAGCCUCUCUUGACUAUUUCACUUCCUUCCCUUCUCCCCUCAUCUCCUGCGUGGUCCCCACUCUCAGCACCACUCACACAUUUACUCAUACUUUGUCAGCUUCCUCCAGGAAGACUUGCUAACUCUGAGAGCAAGCUAGAUGCCUCUGGCAUUUGCUUUUGCAUCUCCCCAAACAGUAGCACCUACCCUAUAUUAGUAUCAUUCCUCAUUGCUUUCUAAUACUAAUUUAUCCAUCUUUGUAUCCCCAAUAUCCCAACACAGCAUCCAGAAUACAGAGGGCAGAUACCUUACAUAUAUGCGUGUGCAUGCAUACACACACACUCACACACACUCACACACACAGGCCCAUUUACUUAGACAUCCUUAAAGUAUAGGUAUGGAGAAUAUAAAGAAAUGAAAAAGGUAAGGUUCUUGCAAUUAAGAAACUUAUAGGAUAGUAGUGGAUGUUCGGAGAAGGCAAUGGCAACCCACUCCAGUACUCUUGCCUGGAAAAUCCCAUUGGUGGAGGAGCCUGGUGGGCUUCAGUCUAUGGGGUCUCUAACAGUCAGACACGACUGAGCAACUUCACUUUCACUUUUCACUUUCAUGCAUUGGAGAAGGAAAUGGAAACCCAUUCCAGUGUUCUUGCCUGGAGAAUCCCAGGGACGGGGGAGCCUGGUGGGCUGCCAUCUAUGGGGUCGCACAGCGUCGGACACGACUGAAGCGACUUAGCAGUAGCAGCAGUGGAUGUUAGUAUAUAAGCUUCAUUUCCAUGUAGUUGAAGUAAAUACUAUGAGCUAGGAACUUGAUAUUAUGAACAAAAGAGGACUAAUUCAGCUCUCCAUCACCUCAGAUAAACACUGGGGAGAAGGCAUGGGGAAGUCUUCCAAAAGAGCAGAGACCAUUGGAUAAUAGAGUCUUUAGCCAAGGGACUAAUAGGAAUUUUAAAAAGAAAAUAAAUUGACACAGCUGUUUGGAGAGUAAUUUGGUAGAAUUUAUUAAAAUGUGUAUAUCCCUUCACCUAGCAAUUCUGUUGCUGGAAAUUUUUUCCUUAAAUAUCAGGUGUGUACGUAAAGAUACUGUUUCACUUGUGAUGAAAAUGAAACUAAUUGUUCAGAAAGGGGAAAUCAUUCACUAAACUA
rnacentral:lncRNA from 1 species